AGAUAAAAGAGCUGCAGCAAUGGGAAACAUCACAUCCUGCGAGUCUACAGGCCAGAGUGUGAGUAAGGACACUCCAAAAAAGCCGUCAUACAUAGCUAACAACAUCAAACCCAUCACUGAAGAACCCACAUAUCCUACUGCGUGAGAGACUGCCAGUGAUACCAGGUCAGCUGUUUCUACACAACACUCAGUUCGGCUACAUUGUUGCUGGCACUGCACCAUUGAACAGCGACGGAUGUUCAUCACUACCAAGUAACUUUUGCAACUUUCCUAUUUUUUCGGGAAUACCGCCGCUGCCCCCGGGCCAUGCCUCUAUAAUGAGAAGAUCACCUGGGUGAAGAUGACGAUGCAACAUCGACAUGUCGAAGUACCCAGCGAAUGUGACGACAAAACUACUAAAUGGAUUUUGAUCAACAGACAACCUGGAUAGGCAACUUUUUAAAAAUCCUAGAAUCACUACCAGAAAACUUUUUAGCUCUAAGUUUUAUUUUAACAGUUACUAGAAAAUAAAACCGAGAGCAUGUUAAAUAAAACAAACCAACACCUAUCCCAAAAGAAAUGGUAGAAACAUAAUCAACAAAAUAUAUCAUACAGGUUACCAGAUAAGGCAAGUAAUAAUGAAAAAUAAUUUAUCUAUCUUUUAUCAUUGCAUGUUAUUGUUAUAAUGUAUUUCUACCUAUGGGUACAAUAGUGGGAGUAGCCUGUAUUUAUAGUUGGUGAACAAAUUGCUUGCUAAUGAUAAGGCACGGAAUUAAAAGGGACAGUCAGAAUUGAUGGAGCAUUUACAACGUAGGUAAACAAAUUCCUACACAUAUCUCAAGUCCUACAUAUUCAGAGACAGUCAUAUAAGAAAGGGAAUGACUGUUUAUAACCACAAUAGCCGAAACUGAUGUGGCAUUUCUCAAAAA